CAGUAGCCGCGGGAAUACGUAGGUGGCAAGCGUUGUCCGGAAUUAUUGGGCGUAAAGGGCUCGCAGGCGGUUUCUUAAGUCUGAUGUGAAAGCCCCCGGCUCAACCGGGGAGGGUCAUUGGAAGCUGGGAAACUUGAGUGCAGAAGAGGAGAGUGGAAUUCCACGUGUAGCGGUGAAAUGCGUGGAGAUGUGGAGGAACACCAGUGGCGAAGGCGACUCUCUGGUCUGUAACUGACGCUGAGGAGCGAAAGCGUGGGGAGCGAACAGGAUUAGAUACCCCAGUAGUCCCUGUCUCUUAUAC
rnacentral:rRNA from 1 species